GACGAACGCUGGCGGCGUGCUUAACACAUGCAAGUCGAACGGACUAUUUCAUUUCGGUGGAGUAGUUAGUGGCGAACGGGUGAGUAACGCGUAGACAACCUACCUCUUAGAUGGGGACAACAUCGCGAAAGCGGUGCUAAUACCGAAUGAAGUGACUUUCCUGCAUGGGAGAGAUACUAAAGGUGGCCUCUAUUUAUAAGCUACCACUGAGAGAUGGGUCUGCGUCUGAUUAGCUAGUUGGCGGGGUAACGGCCCACCAAGGCGACGAUCAGUAGCCGGUCUGAGAGGAUGAACGGCCACAUUGGGACUGAGACACGGCCCAAGCUCCUACGGGAGGCAGCAGUGGGGAAUUUUGGACAAUGGGCGAAAGCCUGAUCCAGCAAUGCCGCGUGCAGGAUGAAGGCCUUCGGGUUGUAAACUGCUUUUGUACGGAACGAAAAAGCUCCUUCUAAUACAGGGGGCCCAUGACGGUACCGUAAGAAUAAGCACCGGCUAACUACGUGCCAGCAGCCGCGGUAA
rnacentral:rRNA from 1 species